AAAGUCGUAACAAGGUUUCCGUAGGUGAACCUGCGGAAGGAUCAUUAUUGAUUUUCUAGUAAAGGAUUGAGCUGUGCCCUGAAAGGGAGCACGCCCGUUCCGAUACACUUACACCUGUGCACCUUUGACCCGCUUAGUCGGGUCCUUACACACACUAUUGAUCUUAGAAUGUUUUAUUUGAUAAAAUUAUGACAACUUUCAACAACGGAUCUCUUGGCUCUC
rnacentral:misc_RNA from 1 species